GAUGAACGCUGGCGGCGCGCCUAACACAUGCAAGUCGAACGGUGAAGUCCCUUCGGGGACGGAUCAGUGGCGGACGGGUGAGUAACGCGUGAGUAACCUGCCCUUAUGAGUGGAAUAACGUCUGGAAACGGACGCUAAUACCGCAUAAGCCUACAGUACCGCAUGGUACAGCAGGAAAAACUCCGGUGGUAUGAGAUGGACCCGCGUCUGAUUAGCUAGUUGGUGGGGUAACGGCCUACCAAGGCGACGAUCAGUAGCCGACCUGAGAGGGUGACCGGCACAUUGGGACUGAGACACGGGCCCAAACUCCUACGGGAGGCAGCAGUGGGGAAUAUU
rnacentral:rRNA from 1 species